GUUUGUUUUUGUCUUACGCAUAUGCACCUGAUCUCGUCUGAUCUCAGAAGCUAAGCAGGGUCGGGUCGAGCCUGGUUAGUACUUGGAUGGUCCAACACAUAAAAGAACAAAUGCUAGGCAAGCU
ensembl:rRNA 5S_rRNA 5S ribosomal RNA